rnacentral:lncRNA from 1 species
AAGGAUUUCAUCAGGCAUGACCAACUUGAUCAGUUUAUCUGACGGAGAAGGGAGCAGUGGAAAAAUCGAUAGAGAUCUCCUCAGUCAGCAGAGGAACCAUAGCAGGUUGAGCUGCAGGAAGACCGACCCCCAGUCGGCAUAGUAAACACUAUCACCAGGGGGCAUCGUAGUGGAGGACUAGGUGGGGAUGAAGAGGUGACAAAAAGGUGG